GUGAUAAUGAUGAAGCAAUUGAAUCUAAUCCAACACUUGAUCUGAGAGUUGCUAUGUGCAUCUCUAUUGAUGUCAACAGUUUUUAGCUUCUGAAUCUUG
rfam:Arabis alpina cultivar Pajares chromosome 8, whole genome shotgun sequence.